UGGGGAAUAUUGGGCAAUGGGCGCAAGCCUGACCCAGCAAUGCCGCGUGAAGGAAGAAGGCUUUCGGGUUGUAAACUUCUUUUAAGAGGGAAGAGCAGAAGACGGUACCUCUUGAAUAAGCCACGGCUAACUACGUGCCAGCAGCCGCGGUAAUACGUAGGUGGCAAGCGUUGUCCGGAUUUACUGGGUGUAAAGGGCGUGUAGCCGGGUUCAUAAGUCAGAUGUGAAAUCUGGAGGCUUAACCUCCAAACUGCAUUUGAAACUGUGGAUCUUGAGUACUGGAGAGGCAGACGGAAUUCCUAGUGUAGCGGUGAAAUGCGUAGAUAUUAGGAGGAACACCAGUGGCGAAGGCGGUCUGCUGGACAGCAACUGACGGUGAGGCGCGAAAGCGUGGGGAGCAAACAGG
rnacentral:rRNA from 1 species